rnacentral:lncRNA from 1 species
AGCAACUUCACUUCAGGAAUCCCAGUGUAAUCCUCCCACAGUAACUGGGUGAGAGACAGACAUGGGAGACACUUGGAGACAGGGACUAUGACUAUGGCAGGGACAAUAAUUGUGCUAGACAUAGACCCCCUGAGAAGCGUAAGCUUAGGCCAUAAAGGACUUCCUCCCUUCCCCAUGUUGAGAAGCCAGGCCAGGCCUGUGCUGUACUCUGAAAUGGCUGAAAGUGCUGACAUUAAGUUCAGCAGACUGCUUGAACCUUUGUCCCGCUACCUACCUCCAGCACAGGUCAGAGGUCUGAUUGCUUUCUUCAUCUACCAACAUGACUACGGAUGCAUUUCAGCUUGUUCAGUUGCUACAGCCUAAAGUAAACAGACAGAGAAACCUCUGGAACAGGGGAAACCUCACAAACCUACUGGCUAUAAAGCUAGGAGGAAAAAACCAUGACUUACUGGAUUCUAAAACUGCAAUCCUGGAAAGAAACCACUCAUUCCAAAAUACACAGAAAUAUUUUUUUCUUUCUUUGGACUCAUUUUUUUUUCUCACUUUUUUCUCUUUCUUCUUCAGUGGUUUUGGGGAAAUGGUGAGACUGGAGGACUGCUCGCCUCAACCUACCCAGUGUGAUUAUUGCAGCACAUAUGGUUUAGAGCCGUUGAGAAAAAUAAUGGAUCUGCCUGAAUUAGCACCUGACUUGGGCAGCAUCACCAGAGAACCAGUCUCGCCAGUUCACUUUGCUUUGCUCCCAGCCAUGAUCGACCUCCUUGCAUACUUCAACACAUCAAUAUUGAUGGAGAGCCCAGGCUGUAUCUCCUUCAAGCUGUAGGCACAAUGGCCCUGGUGGGAAGUUCAUCCAUCAGAAGAAAUUUCCUGGAAAUACACUCAGCCAGGUACAGUGUCAACUCCUGACCUCUGACAGCAUGUGUGACCUCAGUGAACAUAUUCUCUGUAGAUGACUACAACAGGGGCCCAAGGUCUGGAUCCAUAAGAACCUUGACACGCUUGAGGUAUCCAUAAGGUUUUUAGUAGGCAGCUCACUUUAUGUACUAGAAAAAUUUGAGUGCAAACCUGAAAACUAGUUUCAAAUAUUUAAAAGACUAGAGGAAAAAGGGAUAAUAUUUUUCUAUGUGACUCGAGAGGACAAAGUUAAGAAAAAAUGAUAGAAGAAUUUUGGUG